rnacentral:miRNA from 1 species
UGGCAACAAUGUGUUGACUGUAAUGGGUCCUAUUUUGAUUUACAAGGAUAUGUUUGAGCCUAGUUAUAAUGAUUAAAAUUCAUGGUCCAAAACUACAGUUACUUUUGCAUCAA